ACUUUUAUUUUUUUAACAUGUUGAUUUCUUUUUUUUUAUUUUAGAUUUAUUUAUUUAUUUAUUUAUUUCAUGUAUGUGAGUACACUGUAGCUGUCUUCAGACACACCAGAAGAGGGCAUCAGAUCCCAUUACAGAUGGUUAUGAGUCAUCAUGUGGUUGCUGGGAAUUGAACUCAGGACCUCUGGAACAGCAGUCAGUGUUCUUAACCUAUGAGCCAUCUCUCCAGCCCUAGUAUACUUUUCUAAAUUACUUUUUUAUAUUCCUCCUUCCCCAUCUCUCUAACUUCUGAUUAUUACAAUAGACUUACAUCUGAAAAAUCUAAACUUAUUCAAAUAAAUCAUCCCCCUCCCAAAUUUUGGAAGCAAGAAGGACCAUCAUACACCUAUAUUUAAAAAAAAAGCUAGGCCAGGCCCUCUGCAUAUGUCAUAGCUGCAUAGCUUGGUGUUUUGUGGGCUUUCUAACAGUGGGAGCGGGGGCUAUCUGGGACCCUUCUCCUCUCCUGACUUGGCUCAUCCAGCCUUGGUGUGAUGGCAUGUGCCUGGUCUUACUGUUGGUUGCUAGGCCAUGCUUGGUUGAUGUCCCUGGGAGGCCUGCUCUUUUAUGAGGGGGUGAGGUUGGGAUGGACCUGAGGAAGAGUGGGUGGGGAGAGACUAGGGGGAGAGGAGGGAUAUAAUAUGUGAGAAAAGAAGAGAAGUUCGAUGGUAGUGCAGGCCUUUAAUCCAAGCACUUGAGAGGCGGAGGCAGAAGGGUCUCUUGAGUUCCAGGUUAGGCUACCAGGGUUACACAGAGAAACUCUUCUCUCAAAAAACAAAAACAAAACAAAAAAAAAAGGAAAAAGAAAAUCUCCAAUAGUAAUAAAGCAAUGUCGUCUUUCUAAAGGUGAGUGCUGUGUCCACUCUAGAUCAAUUAUGUUUUUUUGGUUUUUCAAGACAGGGUUUCUCUGUGUAGCCCUGGCUGUCCUGGAACUCACUCUGCAGAUCAGGCUGGCCUCGAACUCAGAAAUCCGCCUGCCUCUGCCUCCCAAGUGCUGGGAUUAAGGCAUGCGCCACCACUGCCCCGCUUGAAUCAAAAUAUUUUAAGUCCAUUUUGAAAUAAAAAUAUCAUUAACUUUAAAAGCCUUUUAAUUCUUUAAAUAUAUCCUCAUUUCUUUGAUAUUAACUCAUUUUCUUCAUUAGCCACCUUUGUUAGUAUGGUGCUAGGGAGUGAAUCUAUAGCCUCCUGCAUUAUAGGCAAAUACUGUACCAAGAAUUGUAAUCCCAGCCCAACAUAAAAUCUUUUUUCCCCCAAAUGGCUUGUUUUAUGUGUAUUGGUAUUAUGUGUGCAUGAUGUCUGAUGAGGGCUUCAGAUCCCCUGGAACAGGAGUUACAGACCCUUGUGGCCCUCAAGUGGGCGCUGGAAUUGACCUCUGGGAGAAUAGCCAGUGCUCUUAACGACUGAGCCAUCUCUCCAGCUCCAACAGUAACCAACUUCAUUUCAAAUUAACCAAAUCUGUAACAGUUGAAUUCCAAGCCUAUAGAGAUCAAUUAGGGCAUAAUACUCAGUGGUAAGAGCAAAGCCCGGGGUACGAUCCUCAGCACUGAAAAAGAAAAACCACAAAAUACACACACUACAAAAGUUCUAUUUUUAAGUACCGUGAAAGUAGUCUCCUCUUCAGUAUUUAAGGGUUGGGGUGGUGGCUCGGAGCGCGAGCACAUGGUUAGUACAGACACAGCCAAAGGAUAGAUUCCCAACAACUCAAAGGAAAGAUUUAACCAGCUGUGAGUCAUAGAAAACUACAGAAUAUAAAGUCUUUUAAAAUCAGAGUCAAUUUUAAGCCAAAAAGUCCUAAAAAAAAAAAUGCCUCCUCACAAUUAUCGUGGGUCUCAGACUCAGGACAAGGGUCUGAUAUGCAUAUUUUACAUAACCUGGCCCCCAGUUUCUCCUAGCAUCCCUGAGUCCUUACCAGGAAAAGCCACCCCGAACCGUGCCCAUUGCAGCCCCUCCCACGGAGGCUCUUCCCUAUGCAAUGCAGAAUCUCACUUCUCUCUCUGCUCCCUCGCUCCCUUCUCUCUUUUCCCCCCCAUGGCAACUUCCCCAGCCUUGUCCUUGGGGCCAGUGGAAUGUUCUAUCUGCAUGUAUAUCUAUGUGCUGGAAGAGAGCAACUUCCCAAGGAGCCUGUGUUUAUAUACUCUAAUCUGGCUUAAAUUGGCUCAUUUCACCCACGAAGAAAUAACUUAUCAAUUAAGAUGACUCAAAACCUUGCGUGCAUCACAAUCACCGACUGGAGAGGCCUGUUAAAAAAUCCCUGAGCCCCACACCUAUGACUCUCUCUGUCCAGGGGAGGCCCUAGGGACAGUUUUUCAACUACAGUUCCACACCAUGCAAAUCCAAAUCCCUACUCUGAUACAAAGUACAGUUUCUCUUACAGACCCCUUUCCCUACUGAAUGUCUCCAAAUUGUAAACCAUUACCCUAAAAACAGAAAUUCAGCAUUUCUUUUCAUUAGGUCUUUUGGAGACAGGGUUUCUCUGUGUAGCCUUAGCUGUCCUGGAACUCACUCUGUAAACCAGGCUGGGCUCAAACUCAGAUCUGUUGGUGUCUGCCUUCCCCAGGGAGCUUUUUUUUUUUUUCUCUUUAAGAUUUACUUUAUGUAUAUCUGAGUAUUCUAUCUGCAUGUAUAUCUAUGUGCUGGAAGAGAGCAUCAGAUCUCAUUACAGAUGGUUGUGAGCUACCAAAGGGUUGCUGAGAAUUGAACUCAGAACCUCUGGAAGAGCAAUCUGUGUUCUUAACCCCUGAGCCACCCAUCAUCUCUCCAGCCCCCAGGGAGCUUGUCCUAUUUUCAUAUACAAAAUAUAUGUGAACCCAACUCAAACUGAACAUUGUGAAGGCCAAUCCAAUCGAAGAUACAAAACUGUGUUUUUAAAAACUACAGGCCAGGCAGUAUUGGCACAUGCCUUUAAUCCCAGCACUCCAGAGGCAGGAGGAGCUCUCUGAGUUCAAGCCCAUCCUGGUGUACAGAGGAAGUUCUAGGAUGGCCAGGGCUACACAAUGUUAAAUAAAACAAACAAACAAAAAAAUUUAUGUGGCCAGGUAUGGAAUCCCAGCACUCAAGAAGCAGAGGCAGGUGGCCUACAGAGCAAUUUCCAGGACACCCAGGGCUACACAGAGAAACCCAGUCUCAAAAAUUCAAAAAAGCAAAACAAAC
rnacentral:lncRNA from 1 species